rnacentral:rRNA from 1 species
UACGAAGGGGGCUAGCGUUGCUCGGAAUUACUGGGCGUAAAGCGCACGUAGGCGGAUUUGUAAGUCAGGGGUGAAAUCCCGGGGCUCAACCUCGGAUCUGCCUUUGAUACUGCAAAUCUCGAGUCCGGAAGAGGUGAGUGGAAUUCCUAGUGUAGAGGUGAAAUUCGUAGAUAUUAGGAAGAACACCAGUGGCGAAGGCGGCUCACUGGUCCGGUACUGACGCUGAGGUGCGAAAGCGUGGGGAGCAAACAGG